rnacentral:rRNA from 1 species
GAUGAACGCUGGCGGCGUGCCUAAUACAUGCAAGUCGAGCGAACAGAUGAGGAGCUUGCUCCUCUGACGUUAGCGGCGGACGGGUGAGUAACACGUGGAUAACCUACCUAUAAGACUGGGAUAACUUCGGGAAACCGGAGCUAAUACCGGAUAAUAUAUUGAACCGCAUGGUUCAAUAGUGAAAGACGGUUUUGCUGUCACUUAUAGAUGGAUCCGCGCCGCAUUAGCUAGUUGGCAAGGUAACGGCUUACCAAGGCAACGAUGCGUAGCCGACCUGAGAGGGUGAUCGGCCACACUGGAACUGAGACACGGUCCAGACUCCUACGGGAGGCAGCAGUAGGGAAUCUUCCGCAAUGGGCGAAAGCCUGACGGAGCAACGCCGCGUGAGUGAUGAAGGUCUUCGGAUCGUAAAACUCUGUUAUUAGGGAAGAACAAAUGUGUAAGUAACUAUGCACGUCUUGACGGUACCUAAUCGGAAAGCCACGGCUAACUACGUG